AUAAUCAAAAGAGAAGGACU
rnacentral:tRNA from 1 species